CAUCGCAAACAACGACAUGGCUCGCUAUCCUUAGCCAGGCUGCUAGCUAGGUUAGACAGCUAAAAUAAUAUAAAUAUAAGCAGCAGUCAAGCGAAACCCGCCGGUGAGGGCGAUGCCCACUGGUCUGUCUGGACGGUUAUCUUUUGGAGCUUAUGAAUGCAAGAUGAGGGUUUUCAAGGGUUGAUUCUAGAUUCACGCUGGCUAGCCAUCUAGCAUAGCCUAGCCAACUAGCUACAGUGCUGCUCGCCUAACUAAGCCACGUUAGCUUGUUUGGCCACAGGUAUACAGGUAAACAGCUUCACCUGACACGAACGGCUGUACUCGACACGCACGAUUUCCUCAACACUGCGUCAUGGUCUUAUUCCUCUGACGGCAGAUGCCUGCAGGUGGCCAGUUAGCAAGCAACCGAUGCGCGUUACUGCAAAGCUAACAGCUCGCAAGCUAGCCUGGCUGACGAGACAAAAACGAGCAAAGGCCAUUAUUAAACACAGUCUGCGGAUCAAGUAAAGAGCGGCUGUGAGUGCCGCGCCCUGCGCACACCGCCUUUCCUACAACACUCACGACUUCCAAACGGAGGCAGGCGAGACGUCACUGGACAUGUCGGUGCACCAGAUCCUUCAACACUUCAGUAUGUCGCCGUGCAUCCCCAGGAGCGACCCAGAGCCCACUAAAUGCAUGCCUCAGUUUGAAUUUCUGUUCAUUUGACAGCGGGGGAAUUUGAAAUCGUAGGAGGCGGGAAUGGUUCUGCCACAUGCCUCCACCAGGAGGAGAACACGGGGACAUACAUGAACACGUGACUCUGAGACUUUUGGGUGUGUCAGAUUUUGAAUUUCGCACAUUUUCUAUGGCCCCAGUGCGUGUGGUUGAAAAUUGUUCUAAGCAUCCACUGUCUUUCUACAGACAGCUAUACGGUCUUCAUGUAGACAUUGGUUUUAGACAAGUGGUUUUAGAGGCAUCGCUGCGAAGAAGAACCAGCUGAGAAAUUGCAGUCUCAGAGGAGACUACCCCAGAAGUGUAGUAUUAACAAUAUGCUAUUUCAGUAAAACACAGCGAGUGUAUUGUGUUGAUUGCAAAAAUUUUAAAAGAGCAGUUAUUGUAUAAGUGCUACAGUUAACAACACGGUUAUAAAAAUAAUAGCUAUUAUUUAGGUUCCUUAUGGUAGAAUUCAAUAUUCUGUUUUAUUUGAAAAAAACGUCAAUGUCUGAAAAGAUUCAUGUGAAGCUAAACUAAUUUCACAAUAACCUGUAAAUGGUACUUAGCUUAUUAAUUUGUUGUUCGAAUUAUUUAUUUAUUUUAUAACUAACGAACUGAUCGGGCAAUGUAUUUGUUUAAGAAUUAAAGAGAACCGAGAGAACGAGAA